rnacentral:sRNA from 1 species
UUUAAGUUCCGCGCGCAGGCCACGCUGCAACCUGAGGGCCAGAUCCCUCGCUGUCCUAGUCGCUGCUCCUUGGAGUCAUGUUCCCAGCCGCCCCUUCUCCGCGGACCCCGGGUACCGGGUCCCGAAGGGGCCCGCUGGCCGGACUCGGGUCCGGCUCCACGCCCCGGACGGCUAGCAGGAAGGGUCUGCCCCUGGGGUCUGCAGUCAGCUCCCCAGUGCUCUUCUCGCCGGUCGGCCGGCGUAGCUCGCUAAGCUCGCGGGGAACACCAACACGAAUGUUCCCACACCACUCCAUAACUGAGUCUGUGAACUAUGAUGUGAAAACGUUUGGAUCUUCUCUUCCUGUUAAAGUCAUGGAAGCCCUAACAUUGGCUGAAGUCGAUGACCAGCUGACCAUUAACAUAGAUGAAGGUGGAUGGGCUUGUCUGGUGUGCAAAGAGAAGCUCAUUAUUUGGAAGAUUGCUCUGUCACCUAUUACUAAGUUAUCGGUUUGCAAAGAACUUCAGCUGCCACCUAGUGAUUUCCACUGGAGUGCCGACUUAGUGGCUCUUUCUUACUCUGCUCCCUCAGGUGAAGCACAUUCUACUCAGGCUGUUGCUGUCAUGGUUGCCACCAGAGAAGGAUCUAUCCGCUAUUGGCCAAGCCUUGCUGGUGAAGAUACCUACACAGAGACUUUUGUAGAUUCGGGAGGUGAUAAGACUUACAGUUUCCUAACAGCAGUGCAGGUUCACAAAGAAACAAAAUCUGGCUGAGCAUGGUGGCUCAUGCCUGCAGUCUCA